rnacentral:rRNA from 1 species
GAUGAACGCUGGCGGCGUGCCUAAUACAUGCAAGUCGAGCGAAUGGAUUAAGAGCUUGCUCUUAUGAAGUUAGCGGCGGACGGGUGAGUAACACGUGGGUAACCUGCCCAUAAGACUGGGAUAACUCCGGGAAACCGGGGCUAAUACCGGAUAACAUUUUGAACCGCAUGGUUCGAAAUUGAAAGGCGGCUUCGGCUGUCACUUAUGGAUGGACCCGCGUCGCAUUAGCUAGUUGGUGAGGUAACGGCUCACCAAGGCAACGAUGCGUAGCCGACCUGAGAGGCGGAUCGGCCACCCUGGGACUGAGACACGGCCCAGACUCCUACGGGAGGCAGCAGUAGGGAAUCUUCCGCAAUGGACGAAAGUCUGACGGAGCAACGCCGCGUGAGUGAUGAAGGCUUGCGGGUCGUAAAACUCUGUUGUUAGGGAAGAACAAGUGCUAGUUGAAUAAGCUGGCACCUUGACGGUACCUAACCAGAAAGCCACGGCUAACUACGUGCCAGCCGCCGCAGUAA